rnacentral:lncRNA from 1 species
UUAUUUUGAAACAUAGCCGUUCCUUAGCGUUGGUUGAGUCUCACUCUCACGCGGUGGUCCACGUGAAGUGCACUCAAAAAGCCCACCUCAGGAGAUACCCUACGCGCCUUUACGACCGAGGUGAGAAUAUAAAGGAGUUUACCGUGCCCCUCUAAUAGGCUGGCCCACGGAACCCCCCACCACUGUAGUAGCUAAUCUUUUAUCUACCACCUGAUUUAUAAAAUCUUUUUCUACAUGACAUGGCAAUUUAUCGCAACCUAGCCUCUCAAGGCU